UACGUAGGGCGCAAGCGUUUGUCCGGAAUUAUUGGGCGUAAAGAGCUCGUAGGCGGUUUGUCGCGUCUGCUGUGAAAACCUAAGGCUCAACCUUGGGCUUGCAGUGGGUACGGGCAGACUAGAGUGCGGUAGGGGUGACUGGAAUUCCUGGUGUAGCGGUGGAAUGCGCAGAUAUCAGGAGGAACACCGAUGGCGAAGGCAGGUCUCUGGGCCGAUACUGACGCUGGAGGAGCGAAAGCCGUGGGGAGCGAACAGG
rnacentral:rRNA from 1 species